AGUGCAGUUGCUGGGUCAUAUGGUAAGAAUAUGUUUAGUUUUGUAAGUAAUCUUCAAACUGUCUCCCAAAGUGGCUGUACCAGUUUGCAUUCCCAGUGGCAAU
rnacentral:pre_miRNA from 3 species